CGUGACGGACCGAUUCCUCAGUCGCGCCCGAGGUCCUUGGCUGGUCGCCAGUCGGCGGUCAAUCAACGCCAAGCAACCGCAUCAUAGAGAAAUGGGAUCCUUUUAUGAAAACAACGAUGCGUCGACGGCCAGUGCUGCGCCGACAGUCAACGCCACCGACGAUUCGGCACGGGGAUCAAGGUUCAAGAGGCGCGCGAGGGCCGGCAACACAUCGGGGCGAUUAUCAAUACCCGCGAGUGCGUGUGUGGCAACGAGAGAGCGUAGGUGCAUCGGCAGGCUCAUCAAUUGGUCGAGAUCGUCGUCGUCGGCGGCAAGUUUGUUGGCGAGCAGACGCGCGGUGCGAUUCUGCAGCGUCGAUUCUGCGAUUCGAUCGUGUGUACGCGUGCGGGCUGGCACGACGACUGCAAGGAGGGCGAUCGUAUCCUGGGCGUUGAAAAACGCAACAUGAACGGGCGGUCCGUCCGAGGGCACAUGGCGUUGUAGAAUGCUUAUAUUAAACUCAUCGGGCAGGUCGCGACCGAGGACGGGCGCCAUGCUGAGGGUCGCCGCCGCCGUUUGUGCCACGGUCUUGCACGCCAGACGCACGAGCGACUCGGCGGGCUCGUUCAGUUCCCAGCGGCGGUACGUCUUGUCGCCAGAGGACAGGGCAGCGGCCAAGUGCGAGAGAUGUUCAUACUGGCAAUGAGAGUCGAGCGGGUCCUGCCGAAACACAUGGCCGUUGGUGGCCACCUCGGCGCUGGCGACAAGAAAGGCCCGUCCGCUUUGCUGCCCUCUCGGCAAAGGACGACAGACGAGCGCGCCGUAAAAGCGGCUCCUGUUUUCGGGAAGCACCACAAGGGCGCACAACGGAUACGAUGGCGCUGCGGCGCCGUCGGCAUGGACAAACAAAGAGGGUACGGCCGACGGCCACGAUGGUCGACGCCGAUAAUGAUGGCGUUGCUCGUCGAUCAUUGCCCACAGGCGCGAGUCAAACAUGGCAAGUUUUAUCUUGCACUCUAUGUGCGGUCUCCUAUUCCCCCUCUUUUCGAUCGAAUAAAGAAUCGCAAAAGUCAGCGCUGCCUGACG
rnacentral:lncRNA from 1 species